GGGGCAGGGAGAGAGAAAGGAAGACAUUCAUUAAAGCAGCAUGCAGACAAAUACUUGCCUUUGCAUGGUACCAUGCAAGACAUCAAACAUCACAUGCAAGCGCUCUGAUCACCUGAUCACCUGUUCACCAGAUUACAUGAUCACCUGAUCACCUGUUCACCAGAUUACAUGAUCACCUGUUCACCAGAUUACAUGAUCACCUGCUCUCCACUCCUGUAGGAGGAAAAGGUCACAGUGCUGCAGCGACGAUGGUCUUUCUCAAAUUAGCGCUCGUAGUAACUGCAUGUCAUGAGCAUAUAUAUGUUGCUGAAUUCGGGAAUGAGAUCGGUCAUAAGGUCAUAAGGUGUUUUUAGGAAAAGCUUGCAAGUUUUUAUUCUAAAACUUACACAUGGACAUAGUCGUGACGUAAGGAAAUUCCAAUGUAUGGAAGGAGUCUCCAGGGUCAGAGAAUGAGGAAAUGUUUUUUCAGCAGAAAUUAUGAAGUGCUUCUUGAUAAAGGCGUCUGCUGAAGGCUGGGAAAGUAAACGUGGAUCUAAUUUGAGCAGUGCUCCUCUGCCGUGCCUGUCCUGAGCCGAUACAGCAGUCUCUGAUUUAUCGGUAAUGGAGUGACUUACGGAAGGAAAGCGACGGCUAAGUGUCCGGCCACUCUGCUGGAAAUCGAUGUAAAGCUGCAGUCACAGACGGCAUUUGGGGCUGGAUUACGUGUGUGUGUGUGUUUCUCAUCACUUCACAGUGUCCGUAGUAUUUUCCUGACUUGAAGCUCUCUAGAACUGGACUGUAUUUUUAUUUUUUGCGGUUCUCUGCAUUUUUAAAACUGGUCACAUUAUUAAACGGUUAAAAUCUAAUCUCUCAUCAGUCUAACAAUGACUCCAUCUGCUUUGUGCUUUGUUGACAGCUGUUACAAGAAAAAAAAUAAAAUAAAAAAUGUAUUCAUAUAAUGUAUAUAUUCAGCUAAUAAUCUGAUGUUUACACACUGAAAUGUAAGGUACCUGUGUUAGUUUUACCAAAAAACUUUUUACGUAAAUGUUAUAUAAAAAUUUUAUGUUUCUCAACAAAACUUUUUUUUUUUUUUGUGAUUUUUUUGUGAUUGUUUAUAAUCAGCUUCAUUUCAACAAGUUUCUCAUGACUCGGCUGUAUGAUGUAAAGCCAUCGUGAUUAAUUCAUGGAGCAUUAACCAAAGCCACAAUCAUCCAGUGCGAAAUCUCACGAGGAUGUUGAUGAC